AACGAACGCUGGCGGCAGGCCUAACACAUGCAAGUCGAACGCCCUAGCAAUAGGGAGUGGCAGACGGGUGAGUAGCGCGUGGGAACCUUCCCAAUGGUACGGAAUAGCCCAGGGAAACUUGGAGUAAUACCGUAUACGCCCGAGAGGGGAAAGAUUUAUCGCCAUUGGAUGGGCCCGCGUAGGAUUAGCUAGUUGGUGAGGUAAUGGCUCACCAAGGCGACGAUCCUUAGCUGGUCUGAGAGGACGACCAGCCACACUGGGACUGAGACACGGCCCAGACUCCUACGGGAGGCAGCAGUGGGGAAUAUUGGACAAUGGGCGCAAGCCUGAUCCAGCCAUGCCGCGUGAGUGAUGAAGGCCUUAGGGUUGUAAUGCUCUUUUAGCAGGGAAGAUAAUGACGGUACCUGCAGAAUAAGCCCCGGCUAACUUCGUGCCAGCCGCCGCCGUAAUAC
rnacentral:rRNA from 1 species